rnacentral:lncRNA from 1 species
AAAAAUAAUACAACAAUAAAAAUAAAUAUUGGUUAUUAGAAACCAUUAGCUUUGCUGAGUUGGGAUGCUCUCUUUUAGGUUAGGUUGAAUAUAUUUAAUUAAAAUAUAUAAUUUGUUCCAAUAAACAAACACCUAGCAGCAUAAAAAUAAUUCAGAAUACCUUAGCAACCACAUAGCAUCACCCUGGAAACAAUCUUCACUAGUUGUGGCAGUUUACUCAGAAAAUGUACAACUCACUGUAACCAAUUUUUUUGUUGUUGUUGUUGUUGUGUCGUAGGGUGAACCAGCAGAGUGCAACUGUUUGAAUGAUAUGUUCCCUGGAACCGGUGGACCUGUGAGCUAAUGCUUUAUUUUAUUGUUGUUAAUCAGGAAGACAUUAACACACUCUCACACAUACACACUCUAAUAAUGUGGGCUAUUAAACAAAACCUUUUAAAUCACUCACGUCUCAUCAUGAGACCUGAUGUCAUUCACAGUGCUGAAGUCAAUUACUCUUUUCUUGCAGGGGGUCCCAGGUGGUGAGAGCAGGUGGCAGCCUGGUCCUCAGGGGCCUCCUGGACCACCAGGCCUUCCAGGUCCCCCAGGGUCCCAAGGCUUUACAGGAAUCACAGGCCCACAGGUGAGUAUAAAACAAAUGGCAUCAGGGUGUACCUCUGCUUUUUCUGUCUGUUCCUUCAUCCUGCUCUCUUUGUGGGGCUUCUGUAUCGGUAAGGCCUGCAUGGGUAACUCUGGGCUUCCACUAAAGCAUAUUUAAAUGCACCAGUAAUGUUUUCUGUAAAAGUUUACACAUAAAAGCAAUUUGUUAAUUUAGCAAAUAAUUAUUACUACUGCCAUGAAUUAAAUGUAAUGUAAUGUAAUGUAAAUGUAAUGUCAUGCAAUUAUAAUGUAGUUUGUAAAAGAGCGCUGUAUUAAAACAUUGCUUUUUAAAUUGCACGCUUUAAAGGGGCUUCUGGGAAUUUUGAAUAGUGCCAUGGGAUGUGCUUUUUUAAUGGCUGUGCUUUUAAAAGUUAAUGUUAAAGUAAAUGUAAAUAUUAAUGUAGAUUGUAAUCUAAAUCAUUAAUGUAUGGAUCAAAUAUUGCGGGCAAAAAUGAAUUAAAUGUAAUCUAAUUAAUACAUUACUUAAAUAAGUGGUUGGGGGUCAUGCUGCUUUUUCUUUUUAAAAACCAUGCAGAAGCUCACUGUGAGGUUGCUGUAUUUACUUUAAGUCCAUUUUCAUCUUUAUCAGUUAUGUCUUAAAUAUACAAUGGGAAUUAUAAUGGUAUGUAAGCCCAUCAUCAUUUAAAUCACCCUGAUAAACUGGCAAAUUUACUUCUGUAUGACCUCACCGUGAGCACUGAGUGGUCUUUAACCUGGUGUUGUGUUGAUUUCCCAAGUCUCAGAAGAACUGAAAUUAAAAAAUAGACAGAGAAAGGCAAGAAAAAAUGUAAAUGUCUACU